UACGGGGGGAGCAAGCGUUGUUCGGAUUUACUGGGCGUAAAGGGCGCGUAGGCGGCGUGACAAGUCACUUGUGAAAUCUCCGGGCUUAACUCGGAACGGUCAAGUGAUACUGUCGUGCUAGAGUACAGAAGGGGCAACUGGAAUUCUCGGUGUAGCGGUGAAAUGCGUAGAUAUCGAGAGGAACACCUGCGGCGAAGGCGGGUUGCUGGGCUGACACUGACGCUGAUGCGCGAAAGCUAGGGGAGCAAACGGG
rnacentral:rRNA from 1 species